rnacentral:rRNA from 1 species
GACGGAAGGUGCAAGCGUUGCUCGGAAUCACUGGGCGUAAAGGGUGCGUAGGCGGCUGUGUAAGUCUGGCGUGAAAGCCCCGGGCUCAGCCCGGGAAGUGCGCUCGAAACUGCGCAGCUCGAGUGCCGGAGGGGAGAGUGGAAUUUACGGUGUAGCAGUGAAAUGCGUAGAUAUCGUAAGGAACGCCAGUGGCGAAAGCGAGUCUCUGGGCAGCAUCUGACGCUGAGGCACGAAGGCCAGGGGAGCAAACGGG